AACGAACGCUGGCGGCAUGCCUAACACAUGCAAGUCGAACGAGACCUUCGGGUCUAGUGGCGCACGGGUGCGUAACGCGUGGGAACCUGCCCUUAGGUUCGGAAUAACUCCCCGAAAGGGGUGCUAAUACCGGAUAAUGUCUUCGGACCAAAGAUUUAUCGCCUUUGGAUGGGCCCGCGUUGGAUUAGCUAGUUGGUAGGGUAAAAGCCUACCAAGGCGACGAUCCAUAGCUGGUCUGAGAGGAGGAUCAGCCACACUGGGACUGAGACACGGCCCAGACUCCUACGGUAGGCAGCAGUGGGGAAUAUUGGACAAUGGGCGAAAGCCUGAUCCAGCAAUGCCGCGUGAGGGAUGAAGGCCUUAGGGUUGUAAAGCUCUUUUACACGGGAUGAUAAUGAGAGUACCGUGAGAAUAAGCUCCGGCUAACUCCG
rnacentral:rRNA from 1 species